rnacentral:misc_RNA from 1 species
UUAAGUUCAGCGGGUAGUCCUACCUGAUUCGAGGUCAACCAGAAAAAAGUUGGGGGUUUUACGGCGUGGUCGCACCGAGACUCCAGAGCGAGGUGUAUUACUACGCAGAGGAAGCUACAGCGAGACCGCCACUAUAUUUGGGGGACGGCGCGACCCGGAGGACGCCUUGCCGAUCCCCGACACCAAGCAGAGCUUGAGGG